CCUACGGGCGGCAGCAGUGGGGAAUAUUGCACAAUGGGGGAAACCCUGAUGCAGCGACGCCGCGUGAGUGAAGAAGUAUUUCGGUACGUAAAGCUCUAUCAGCAGGGAAGAAAAAAAGUCCUUUGGCCUUUGGCCGGUCCCUGACUACGAAGCCCCGGCUAACUACGUGCCAGCAGCCGCGGUAAUACGUAGGGGGCAAGCGUUAUCCGGAUUUACUGGGUGUAAAGGGAGCGUAGACGGCAGCGCAAGUCUGGAGUGAAAUGCCGGGGCCCAACCCCGGAACUGCUUUGGAAACUGUGCAGCUGGAGUGCAGGAGAGGUAAGCGGAAUUCCUAGUGUAGCGGUGAAAUGCGUAGAUAUUAGGAGGAAUACCAGUGGCGAAGGCGGCUUACUGGACUGUAACUGACGUUGAGGCUCGAAAGCGUGGGGAGCAAACAGGAUUAGAUACCCGUGUAGUC
rnacentral:rRNA from 1 species